rnacentral:rRNA from 1 species
CAGUCGCCGCGGGAAUACGAAGGGGGCUAGCGUUGUUCGGAAUUACUGGGCGUAAAGCGCGCGCAGGCGGUCUUCCAAGUCAGUGGUGAAAGCCCGGAGCUCAACUCCGGAACUGCCAUUGAAACUGUGAGACUUGAGUAUGAGAGAGGUGAGUGGAAUUCCCAGUGUAGAGGUGAAAUUCGUAGAUAUUGGGAAGAACACCGGUGGCGAAGGCGGCUCACUGGCUCAUUACUGACGCUCAGGCGCGACAGCGUGGGGAUCAAACAGGAUUAGAUACCCGCGUAGUCCCUGUCUCUUAUAC